GACGAACGCUGUCGGCGUGCUUAACACAUGCAAGUCGAACGGAAAGGCCCUGCUUUUGUGGGGUGCUCGAGUGGCGAACAGGUGAGUAACACGUGAGUAACCUGCCCUUGACUUUGGGAUAACUUCAGGAAACUGGGGCUAAUACCGGAUAGGAGCUCCUGCUGCAUGGUGGGGGUUGGAAAGUUUCGGCGGUUGGGGAUGGACUCGCGGCUUAUCAGCUUGUUGGUGGGGUAGUGGCUUACCAAGGCUUUGACGGGUAGCCGGCCUGAGAGGGUGACCGGCCACAUUGGGACUGAGAUACGGCCCAGACUCCUACGGGAGGCAGCAGUGGGGAAUAUUGCACAAUGGGCGGAAGCCUGAUGCAGCAACGCCGCGUGCGGGAUGACGGCCUUCGGGUUGUAAACCGCUUUCGCCUGUGACGAAGCGUGAGUGACGGUAAUGGGUAAAGAAGCACCGGCUAACUACGUGCCAGCAGCCGCGGUGAUACGUAGGGUGCGAGCGUUGUCCGGAUUUAUUGGGCGUAAAGGGCUCGUAGGUGGUUGAUCGCGUCGGAAGUGUAAUCUUGGGGCUUAACCCUGAGCGUGCUUUCGAUACGGGUUGACUUGAGGAAGGUAGGGGAGAAUGGAAUUCCUGGUGGAGCGGUGGAAUGCGCAGAUAUCAGGAGGAACACCAGUGGCGAAGGCGGUUCUCUGGGCCUUUCCUGACGCUGAGGAGCGAAAGCGUGGGGAGCGAACAGGCUUAGAUACCCUGGUAGUCCACGCUGUAAACGGUGGGUACUAGGUGUGGGGUCCAUUCCACGGGUUCCGUGCCGUAGCUAACGCUUUAAGUACCCCGCCUGGGGAGUACGGCCGCAAGGCUAAAACUCAAAGGAAUUGACGGGGCCCCGCACAAGCGGCGGAGCAUGCGGAUUAAUUCGAUGCAACGCGUAGAACCUUACCUGGGUUUGACAUGGAUCGGGAGUGCUCAGAGAUGGGUGUGCCUCUUUUGGGGUCGGUUCACAGGUGGUGCAUGGCUGUCGUCAGCUCGUGUCGUGAGAUGUUGGGUUAAGUCCCGCAACGAGCGCAACCCUUGUUCACUGUUGCCAGCACGUUAUGGUGGGGACUCAGUGGAGACCGCCGGGGUCAACUCGGAGGAAGGUGGGGAUGACGUCAAGUCAUCAUGCCCCUUAUGUCCAGGGCUUCACGCAUGCUACAAUGGCUGGUACAGAGAGUGGCGAGCCUGUGAGGGUGAGCGAAUCUCGGAAAGCCGGUCUCAGUUCGGAUUGGGGUCUGCAACUCGACCUCAUGAAGUCGGAGUCGCUAGUAAUCGCAGAUCAGCAACGCUGCGGUGAAUACGUUCCCGGG
rnacentral:rRNA from 1 species